rnacentral:rRNA from 1 species
GACGAACCGUGCGAACGUUGUUCGGAAUCACUGGGCUUAAAGGGCGCGUAGGUGGCGACCCAAGUCGAUGGUGAAAGCUCGCCGCUCAACGGCGAGUCGGCCACUGAUACUGGGUUGCUCGAGCACUGUAGAGGCAGAUGGAAUUCCGGGUGUAGCGGUGGAAUGCGUAGAGAUCCGGAAGAACACCGGUGGCGAAGGCGGUCUGCUGGGCAGUUGCUGACACUGAGGCGCGACAGCGUGGGGAGCAAACAGG